UACGGAUGAGCUUUUCUGAAGGGUGACUCAAAAGUCGUUUCUGAGGGGUUAAGCCUGUCGGCAUCCUUUGAUCUCUGCGAUUUUUCUGAGGGGUAAGGGGAAAAUUUACAAAUUUCUGAGGGGUGUUUUGUGUCGGCACUUUGAUCUUUUUUCCUUAGGGUUAAAAUUUUACUGACCUCAUCCGUAGGGGGGGGGGUGGAUAUUAAAUGGAAUGGCCCUUAAUUUGACCCUGGGGACUGAUUUUAUAAUGACAUGAAAGUACAGUAUAAUGUGCUACCAGCUAGUACUUACCACUAUAUUUUGAGGGAAUAACAAAG
rnacentral:lncRNA from 1 species